GAUGAACGCUGGCGGCGUGCCUAACACAUGCAAGUCGAGCGGUAACACUUCGGGUGACGAGCGGCGGACGGCAGAGUAACGCGUUGGAACGUACCCCAAACUGAGGAAUAAGCACCGGAAACGGUGUCUAAUACCGCAUAUUAUCUUCGGAUCAAAGCUUCGGCGGUUUGGGAGCGGCCUGCGUCUGAUUAGCUAGUUGGUGAGGUAAAAGCUCACCAAGGCGACGAUCAGUAGCUGGUUUGAGAGGAUGACCAGCCUGACUGGAACUGAGAACGGUCCAGACUCCUACGGGAGGCAGCAGUGGGGAAUUUUUCGCAAUGGGGGAAACCCUGACGGAGCAACGCCGCGUGCAGGAGGAAGGCCUUCGGGUUGUAAACUGCUUUUAUUGGUGACGAUUAUGACAGUAGCCAAUGAAUAAGGACCUGCUAACUACGUGCCAGCCGCCGCAGUAAUAC
rnacentral:rRNA from 1 species